rnacentral:lncRNA from 1 species
AUGGCCUCCAUGGGGCUGUCCCUGAAUAAGUCUGGCCCAACCCAUAGCCACGGACAUGCCUUGGACCUGGUGUUUACCUCUAUGGAUGUUGGUGAUCUGACACUAAGUAAAAGCGAAAUGAAAGAAGUGCCAUGGUCAGAUCACUUCCUGGUGCAACUGGACUUCUCUGCGACCCAUCCCCUCUGCAGGGAGGUGGGACCAAUUCGGAUGGUCCGCCCCCGCCACUUAAUGGAUCCAAAUGGUUUCCAGAGAGUGGUAGGGGAUGCUUUAUCCCAUGUUGAUGGCCUUUCAGUUGAUUCCCUGGUGGCCCGCUGGAAUGUGGAGUUAACCAGGGCUAUUGACUGUUUGGCUCCGAAGCGCCCUCUCCGAUUGCAUGGAGCCCGGACAGCCCCGUGGUUUUCCACGGAGCUGAGGGCAAUGAAACAAUCGUUGAGACGGCUAGAGCGCCGGUGGCGGAUAACUCAUUCCGAAUCUGACCGGACACAGGUUAGAGCUCAACGUCGAGCCUACCAAGUGGCGAUAGCGACGGCGAAGAAGAAUUUCUUCACCGCCUCUAUUGCAUCUGCAGAAAACAGCAGCAGGAGACUUUUUCAGGUGGUUCACAAUUUAGCGGAACCACCUGCAACAUCGGGGCCCAGUACGGGCCACACGUUCUCCUGCAAUGAUUUUGCAAAGUUUUUUGCAGAUAAAAUCGCUCAGAUUCGGGAAGAAGUAGACUCCACCGUGGGAGCAGGGCCGGGGCGGGAGAGUGCUAGAGUUCUGUCUAGUCAAGUUGAGUGGGAUCAAUUCCAAUCUGUUACCUCCGAGGAUGUGGACAGGCUGCUUGGACGAGUGAAACCAACCACCUGUCUCCUGGAUCCUUGCCCAUCCUGGCUUAUAAAAGCUAGCCGGGAAGGACUGGGCGAUGGGCUUCGUGGGGUGGUGAAUGCUUCCCUCCGUGAGGGAGCCUUCCCAGACCCGCUGAAAGAGGCGGUUAUUAAACCGCUUCUUAAAAAGCCAUCUUUAGAUGCGGCCACGAUGGCCAACUAUCGCCCAGUCUCAAAUCUUCCAUUCUUGGGCAAGGUGAUUGAGCGAGCGGUUGCCGAACAACUCCAGGCACGCCUGGAAGAAGCGGACCAUUUGGAUCCCUUCCAGUCGGGAUUCAGGCCUCAUCAUGGGACUGAAACUGCCUUGGUCGCACUGGUUGAUGAUCUCCAGCGGGCUAGGGACAAAGGUGAGAGCUGUUUCCUAGUUCUGCUGGAUCUCUCAGCGGCGUUUGAUACCAUCGACCAUAACAUCCUUCUGGACCAUCUUCAGGGGCUGGGAGCUGGAGGCACUUUUAUACAGUGUUCAGAAAGUGGUGGUGGGGGAUGA